AGUGUGUAUUCUCAUAUGCGCUUUUAAACUGGAUUUUAAUGAAAACGUUUUGGAGCAAAUCUCACAUGGAAAAGGUUUAUCACCAGUGUGUAUUCUCAUAUGCGCUUUUAAACUGGAUUUUAAUGAAAACGUUUUGGAGCAAAUCUCACAUGGAAAAGGUUUAUCCCCAGUAUGUACUCUCAUAUGGUCUUUUAAAUUGGAUCUUUGUGAAAACCUCUUGGAGCAAAUGUCACAUGCAAAAGGUUUAUCGCCAGUAUGUACUCUCAUAUGUUCUGAUAACCCGGAUCUAUUUGAAAAACUCUUGGAGCAAAUUUCACAUUCAAAAGGUUUAUCACCCGUGUGUAUUUUCAUAUGCUUUUUUAAAUUGGAUGUUAGUGAAAAGGUUUUGGAGCAAAUUUCACAUGGAAAAGGUUUAUCACCCGUGUGUAUUUUCAUAUGCUUUUUUAAAUUGGAUGUUAGUGAAAAGGUUUUGGAGCAAAUUUCACAUGGAAAAGGUUUAUCACCCGUGUGUAUUUUCAUAUGCUUUUUUAAAUUGGAUGUUAGUGAAAAGGUUUUGGAGCAAAUUUCACAUGGAAAAGGUUUAUCCCCAGUAUGUACUCUCAUAUGGUCUUUUAACCUGGAUCUUUG
rnacentral:lncRNA from 1 species